AUGCCCACCCCCUUCUUGCCCGACUCUGCCAGGGGCUCCAGGAUCCUCUGCUGGGUGGCUCUGAGUCUCUUGAGGGCAGGUCCUGUGGAUGCUGGCAUCGUCCAGUCCCCAAGACACAUCAUCACAGAAAACGGAGGACAAGCCACUCCGCAAUGCCACCCUGUCUCUGAACAUCGCAGCGAGUCCCGGUACCAGCAAGCCCAGGGCCAAGGCCCCAAGAUCCUCGUUGAGUAUUAUGAAAAGGCGGACAGAAAUAAAGGCGACAUCCUGGACCGGUUCUCAGUCCAACAGUUCCCUAACUACAGCUCGGAGCUGAAGCUGAGCGCCCUGGAGCAGGGGGACUCGGCCAUGUUCCUCUGUGCCAGUUCAAACCCACCCACUGGCUCCCCA